CAGCCGUAAACAAUGUGCGUUAGGUAUGUCGGUAACCACGUGUUACUGAUGUGCCGAAGAGAAAUCGUGAAACGCACCACCUGGGAAGUACGGUCGCAAGGCUGAAACUUAAAGGAAUUGGGCGGGGGGAGGCACCGCAACGGGAGGAGCGUGCGGUUUAAUUUGGAUUCAACACCGUAAACUACACCAGGGAAGGACUGUUACAUGAAGGCCGAGAUGAAGACUCUGCUAGAUUUUCUAGAGAGGUGGUGCAUGGCGUCAGUGACU
rnacentral:rRNA from 1 species